rnacentral:sRNA from 2 species
UUCUAUCCAUCUUUUCUUCUUCGGCCAUUAAACCUUGACUCUAUGGGUCGGUAUUUCCACGUUCUUUGACAAUCUUAGGAUUAUUUAUUAAGCAAUUUCAUCCUCUUUAAUCUGUGGUUGAAAGGGUUCUAAGGGCUUUCGCUUGUUAUUGCACAAUCAGCCCAACAAGCAUUGACGGAGUGCGAUGCAACCACUGCAGUCAAAUGAACAUGUUUAUACAGUAGGCCAUGUUGCCUUUACCCUGCCUGAGCCAAACCCCCAACCUGCUCACUUACCAGGGUAGUCACCUAUAAUUGAGAGAUUGCAUUAUAUCACAAAUAGUGACUUUAGCAGGGGGUAACUGUUUUAUACAGACCCUGUCAAAUCUACACCGCCAGAUUGAACUAGUUGGAAGCCCUCCCUCUCGAGAAUCGCCAAAGAAUUUCGUCAGUUGAAAGAUGCUUACUGUCUAGCCUGUUGCUAUGUUGGAGGGUAUACCCACUCAAUAGUAAGUUUCUGUGUGGCUAACGGAUCACAAUUCUCUUUCAUUUAAAUUUCGUCAAAUAUCCCGUGCCAGUGUUUAUCUGCAAAUUCAUUUAGUAUGCUUCUUUUCUUCUUCUGGGUGUAGGCGGUGCACACCCUGAUGGUUGAUGACAUCUAUUCAAGUGAAGCAAGCAACAACUCCUUGUUGGGUCAUGGAACUAACAUAACUUCCCGUGGGAAAUCUUGAGCUAAUUAUCUUCCAGACUUGCUGAUGGUUGCUCAUCUACCUCAUAACAUGGAUGUUAACCCAAUGUAUUGCUGUUUGUCCUUCAUCCAACACCAUCUAGCGUCAUACAUAAGCGCCCAAGUUGACCCACAUACGCACAGGCCACAAUAGUUACCCCCCCCAGGCGCUUAAAUUCCUCCAGGCCCGGAGGGUUAUUUUUAGAAUCUCUUGGGUGGGAGGGCGGUGGGUGACUUCUACGGCACCUUUGGAAGACCUAUUCUUCUUCUUUUCUAAGUCAAGACAAUGUAUGAAUUGGAUGUGCAUUGUACUGUGUUGGUGGAACUAGUUAUCCCUGUGGGCGCCAAUGAUUCCCUGUAAAUACUGGACGAGGUUGAUUGGACACGCACAAGGGGGAGUGUGCAUAUUCUGAAAUUGUUUGGCUUGGUUUGUUUGCAUGGCCAAAACAGCAGUUCUUCAUGGAUUAGCUUGAUGCGCUAUGGAAGAUGUUAUGCAUUCGAGACCUCGUCUUGUUUCAAUAAACUGUGACAAGAAUAAUAUGCAAUUUUGAC